rnacentral:rRNA from 1 species
UACGUAGGGUGCAAGCGUUGUCCGGAAUUAUUGGGCGUAAAGAGCUCGUAGGCGGUCUGUCGCGUCGAAUGUGAAAAUCCAGGGCUCAACCCUGGACCUGCAUUCGAUACGGGCAGACUAGAGUUCGGUAGGGGAGACUGGAAUUCCUGGUGUAGCGGUGAAAUGCGCAGAUAUCAGGAGGAACACCGGUGGCGAAGGCGGGUCUCUGGGCCGAAACUGACGCUGAGGAGCGAAAGCGUGGGGAGCAAACAGG